ensembl:lincRNA 2410012E07Rik RIKEN cDNA 2410012E07 gene
AGAUGCAAGGAAGAAGAGGGACUUUUCUGCCAUGCUUGGGAACUAGAAGAGAGUAGCAAUCAUAAUGCUCGUUAUGAACCAUUGAAUUGAUUUACAUGACCCUCCAGUGAUAUGCAUCCUCCAAUGAUACAUCCUCCAGCUUGUAAAGAGCCAAUUCAGACAUUAAAGACUUUAAGGAGUUAGAAAAUGCAGACCUUGAUGGUAUCUCUCCUGGUCCAGGUCUUCAGGGGUUCCUCUAGUCUCCAAAUCUGGGAAUGAAGAGGAAAGAGUACACUGAGCAUCCCUGAAUAGUGUUGGAGAAGUACUGACCCUUCCCUGUGUCCUCUCACUCAUCUGCCAAAUGGGGGAUCGAAGGAGUCUCGGGGGUGAACGCCACUGACCAGGCUCAGUUUGACUUGAGGAACUUGACUCAUCCCUUCUUGCUUCAAUUCUUCAAGAUGGGCAUAAAGAUCCCAACUUUUCCCUCCCCAGCAGAGCUAGAAGGAUCGGCUCAGAGGAAUUGCUAUGCAAAUGCAUGGAAUCAGCAGCAAGCUUCAGCACAAUUGAGAAAUGAUUUCUAAAAUACCCAGGGCCAUUAGGAUUUGGAAUAGGCAUGACCCAGAGGCUUUUUCUUAAAUACCCCACCAUGGGUUUUCAGUUUAUUUACCAAGACUGGAAAUCCAGACCACAAAAUUUGGACCUUCCCAUGGAGAACACAGAAUGCCAGUCACUUUCAGAGCAAGGAGUGAGCCUAGCACUGAGACUGGCAAUAUAGGGUAAGAGUCUCAUGACAGGCUGAAUUACGUAACUCACAUGUACCUGGACAAGUCGGGCUUUGACUGUCUGUACUUGAAGAUAAAAUCUUUAAAGAUGUGACUGAAUGGCAAUGAGAACAAAAGUGGAGUUACAGGUGGGCCACUAAUUCAGUGUGGCUGUUGUCCCCACAAGAACAGGAAUUUUGGACAUAUCAAGAGAUACCGGGGCUACACAUACAUAGAGAAGGAGCCUGUGACACUAGGCGUGCUGACACAUGCCAGGAGACAGUCAGGGGUGAUUUUUAAUAUUUCACACAACAGGGGAUCAAGAGUUGGAGGUCACCCUCUGCUUAAUUUCUAAGUUCCAGACCAGCUUGAAUUACAUAGUGAGAUUGUCCUCCAAGCAACAAUAACAACAACAACAAGAACUACUACUACUACUACUACUACUACUACUACUACUACUACUACUACUACUACUACUACUACUACUACGACUACAGAGCACAUAUGGAUAUUGAGAGGAUGGCAUCAAAAAGCCAUGGAGAGAAAAACCAACUCUACCCACACCUGAAUCUUAGACUUCUAGUCUCCAGAAGUUCAAGAAAAUAAAUGCUUAUUGUUU